GUCGGAUCGGCUCGCUACUGCUGCGCCCGACUGCACGCAAGGCUUCAGUAUUAGCGGCACUGAUGAAGAUAUUGAACAAGACCAGACCCAGCACCGACCCCUGGGGAACACCACUAGUCACAGGUCUCCACUGCACUCUGCACCAUCAAUCACCACUCUCUGAGCUUGAUGUCUGAGCUUUCUUUCAAAAGAAAAAAAAGAAAAUAAUAAAAUCACACAGGUCUUGUGUGAGGUGUUCUGAAGUUGAUAGUCAUUGCUGUGAUCUCUGAUCUGCAUCUACCCCAGAAGAGAACAACCCGUGUAUGUCUCAUCAUGAACAUGACCAGAUUUCUAGAAAAGCAAAUAAAGUUUGAAUUUCAUGGAUGGAUGGAAGAAAAGAGAACUGCAGCCACUUGCCUAUCGUCAGUACAUCAAUCUUAUUUAGAAGACAGGUCUCCAAAACAGUCUACUAAUACAACCAUCAGUUGAGAUUGAAGCAAGAGUGUUUACAAUAGGAGGUGGUGAUUGACGCAGUCUUCAAAAGCGCCAUGGAAAUUCUACUGUCUGGACCUGAUUCCAAUGCUGUGUCCUUUACAGUCCAAGAAACAUUUAUUGUCUUCUUAUCUAUCCAUUCUUUCACCGUUAGUUGUUUCGGCACUCUCAAUAUCCUUGGUAGUUUUCCUUUUCUUUCUUAAUCAUGUCCAGAGAGGAAAAGAAACAUGAAAAGAAAGUACACAGUGAAUGGGUAUCAAACAGAAAUAAGAUCAUGUAAGUAAAUAAAUGUUAUUUUCACAA